AAUGAACGUUGGCGGCAUGGAUUAGGCAUGCAAGUCGGGGGAAUCCCAGCAAUGGGGGAACCGGCGUAAGGGGCAGUAAGGCAUGGGUACCUACCUUGGGGUUCGGGAUAGCCAUCAGAGAUGGUGGGUAAUACCGGAUGACGUCGUGAGACCAAAGAGUUAUCGCCCUUAGAGGGGCCCAGAAGAUAGUAGCUAGUUGGUGGGGUAACGGCCCACCAAGGCGAAGAUGUCUAGCGGGUGUGAGAGCACGACCCGCGCCACACGCACUGAGACACUGGCGAGACACCUACGGGUGGCUGCAGUCGAGGAUCUUCGGCAAUGAGCGCAAGCUUGACCGAGCGAUGCCGCGUGAGCGAUGAAGGCCUUCGGGUUGUAAAGCUCUUUAGUGGGGGAGAAAAGCCGCAAGGUGUGAUCUAUCCCAAAAAUAAGCACGGGCUAAGUUCGUGCCAGCCGCCGCGGUAA
rnacentral:rRNA from 1 species